UCUAAAGGUGUUCUUCACACACACAUCGGUAUAUUGCGCCAAUGAACACCCCAUUGCAACUUCGAGGAAUUACACUUCUGCUGAUCUUUAGGUCACAGCAACUGUUUCGAAAAUGCAAAUCCACAUUGAAUGAUUGGUGAUGAAAAGUAGAUCAGAUUCACUUACGACAACGUUAUGUGAACCACGAAAAUGGUCGUGGUCGAAUCACAAUAAGACGGCUGAAACGAUGACCAAGCCAGGGUUGACGGCCAGGAAAGUCCUCCUCUACGGCAAAACUUCUAACUGGAACUGUACUGUCCAUCUGAACAAUUGCACCGUCUGAAGAAAGCAAUUGCCUUCUUCUUCUGUAUGAAAGCAAUUGUGUUCCAUCAGGAUAAUGCUAGACCACACACAUCGAUAAUGACUCGCCAAAAGCUCCGGGAGCUUAGUUGAUAAGUUUUUAUACACCCAGCUUAUAGUCUAGACCUGGCACCAAUCUGUUUUGAUUACCAUCUGUUUUUAUACAUGCCGAACGAUGGAUGAUUCUUCCGGUUAAAAAUUUGCUUUAACAGAGGCUAGUGAUUAUCGACUAUUUCAAUUUUAUUCAAAUAGGAACGAGGCCUUUUAUGAGAGAAACAUAAUGAAAUUACUUUCGAAAUGACCACAAGCUAUCGAAAAACAGUGCAUGUAUGUGCUAAAUCGGAUCAUUCUAACUAUGGUGCUAUAAAAGGGAAUUGUGUGGACCGCCAAUAGAGGUCAUAAAUAAUCAUCGUCCUGUUGUGUCAUUCACCGGCGGCUGGAGAGUGCGGUGUACACCGGCACCUAUAAUUCCCUAAAAUGAAUGAAUAGUUUUGAUUUAUAAUAUAUAUGAAUAGUCGAAAAAGUUGUCGUCUAAAAUGGAACUACUAAUACUUUUCUCAUGAACAUAUAUAUAUAUACGAAUACAAGUACGAGUACGAGUACAUGUGUAAUCUGUGGCGGGGGAUGUGCAAUAUAUGGUCGAGGUAUCCCCAUGUUUAUAUACGUACACUUGUAUGCGGCACUAAUUUGCCUCACAUACAGGCUUUGCAAUGUAAAUUUGCUGCAAAAUUAUGCGCAAACCAAUGGCAGGUUUUGAUAUAUGGAACUGUCCUGCUGUAUUGUGAUUUAGUGUAAAGGAUAAGGUGUUAAAAACACAGACAAAACGUAUUUGCAGUGGCAUUAUACCUAAAAUUCAAUACCGGCUCGAAUGCUUACCCAUACAUGAGAGCAUAUUUUCCGACUAGCACUGAGUGGGUUUGGAUGUAGGUAGAGACUAGUGCAGCUAUGAUUGUGUGAAGAUGAUGCUUGUGCGUUCCAGAGGAAGUGAUUAAUGUGUCGCCGAGGUGGAUGACAGCGGUUGUUUGAUUUUAAAUUGGCGAUUAAACAAAAUUGGCAGGCAAAGUAUUAUAUUGGAAAGCAAUUAAAUUUGUCUUUGAACUGGAUUAAUAUGACAUUCGGCAUGUUUAAUUUGGUUUCUCUUUUAUUUUCUCAUAUAAUACGGGCAUAAACAUGGACUCGCUUACUAUUGACCAUUUGACACAUCAUUUUGUUAACUGUAAAGUGGCUUAAUAUAAUAGCCUGUUACAUACAAAACCGAUUUAAAAAUGUUUUAUCACAACACUUGCUCACCCAAUAGCAAUUCCUAGAAUUUAUAUAUUUCGUCGGACAUUAAAAAGCGUUUCAAAGUCGCCUUCUCUAUGUGCUAAGUAUUAUGUAAUCGCAUUACCAUGACAAUAAAAUGUAGCACUCUAAGAACGUAACAGAAACAUAAAAUAUGACCAAAACUGGGAUGUACAAAAAACAAAAAAAAAAAUAAAUGAAAAAUAAAAAAACAAGGAAGAAGGAGCGAAAACAAAAACUUAAUCUAAUGCAAAUCCUCAAAACAAUUUACAUAUUUUUCAAAUCGUAUAAGACCAAAAAACAUGUCGGCAGAUGCUCCUCGGUACUGUAAGUGUGAAAAACUAUUUUAUUGCUGCCACAGUUAAAACCGAAACCGGGGAAUCGUUAAGGCCGUUGCGCCCGCAAGUAUGCAGCAAAAAAAAUUGUCUCACAGAAAAAACAGUUUCAGUGUCAGAUUUUGGUCUUUGUCGGCGGCUACGGCCUGGACACACAAAUUUAUGUACUUUAGGUUUCAGUUCAAUGUGCUUGAAUAAUACUAAAAGUACAUAAAAGUUUGAUUUUUGUCAAGUGCGACUUUUGUGCACUUAACAAUGUUCCAAAAUCAAUGAAAACGAUGAGAUAUGUUGUAUUGAAACUAUGAUUUAUUAAAAUAAAUAUAAUUUAAA